rnacentral:misc_RNA from 1 species
AUCCCACGGGUUUUCUUGAACCGGUGUGGACUUGGAACUGGGCGUCUGCCUCACAAGGCUCGCCUCAAAUGACUUAGUGGGAACUUCUUGACCUACGCCUGACGUAAUAAGUUUCGUCUCGGCCGGUCCUGAGGCCCGCUCACAACCCCCUUACUUUUGACAUUGACCUCAAAUCAGGUAGGGCUACCCGCUGAACUUAA